AGUCGAACGAACUUAAUACAUUCUUUUAGAUUGUAAGCGGUUAGUGGCGGACUGGUGAGUAACGCGUGAGUAACCUGCCUAUUAGAGGGGAAUAACAGUGAGAAAUCAUUGCUAAUACCGCAUAUGCUCACAGUAUCGCAUGAUACAGUGAGGAAAGGAGCAAUCCACUAAUAGAUGGACUCGCGUCUGAUUAGCUAGUUGGUGAGGUAGAAGCUUACCAAGGCGACGAUCAGUAGCCGGACUGAGAGGUUGAACGGCCACAUUGGGACUGAGAUACGGCCCAGACUCCUACGGGAGGCAGCAGUCGGGAAUAUUGCGCAAUGGAGGAAACUCUGACGCAGUGACGCCGCGUAUAGGAAGAAGGUUUUCGGAUUGUAAACUAUUGUCGUUAGGGAAGAAAAAAGACAGUACCUAAGGAGGAAGCCCCGGCUAACUAUGUGCCAGCAGCCGCGGUAAUACAUAGGGGGCAAGCGUUAUCCGGAAUUAUUGGGUGUAAAGGGUGCGUAGACGGGUGUCUAAGUUGGUUGUGAAAUCCCUCGGCUCAACUGAGGAACUGCAACCAAAACUGGAUAUCUUGAGUGUCGGAGAGGAAAGUGGAAUUCCUAGUGUAGCGGUGAAAUGCGUAGAUAUUAGGAGGAACACCAGUGGCGAAGGCGACUUUCUGGACGAUAACUGACGUUGAGGCACGAAAGUGUGGGGAGCAAACAGGAUUAGAUACCCUGGUAGUCCACACUGUAAACGAUGGAUACUAGGUGUAGGGUGUUUAAGCACUCUGUG
rnacentral:rRNA from 1 species